GGAGAGAUACUCAAGAGGCCGAAGAGGACGGUUUGCUAAACCGUUAGGGGGCUUUUGGCCCCGCGCGGGUUCGAAUCCCGCUCUCUCCGCCA
rnacentral:tRNA from 1 species